CUGCCCCUCGGUGUCUCGUCAUUGCUACGCAGCUGAAUUCUGGCUAAAAUGAACGAUGAAAGAGGGAAGGAGAAACAAUGGAAUGGGAGUCUCAGAGGUGUGUGCUCUGCGGCUGCCCUUCAUGCCCGCGCCCACUGCGGAGUCCUCUGGAAGGCUGCACCUCUAAUUGCCUACUGGUUAUUCUGGGUUUUUUAAACCAGCCGCUGGUCCACACCUGCACCUUCCCGUCUGCCUCUGCUGCAGUCCUCAGACUGCCUUGUCCUUAUCACCAGGGCGGUGUUGGGGGCCCGAGGGACCCCGAUGGUAAACCAGGAUCAUAGCCCUGCUUGCUGCCGGGCAUGGGGAAGGACGGCCACGUCUAGAGUGCCAUGAGCACGAUUUCAAAUGUCACUCUGUCGCCACACCCUGCUCAACGCCCCUCAACUCCGCGCCCUGCCUCGUGGGGAGCUGCUCCCUGGGCACGUCCUCGGCCGGACCAGGCUCCUGAGCCUCAUGGCUUUUUUACCCACAACUUGGGCUCAAAACGAAGUGAAACCUGAUUAGGAAAUGAUGUCAAGAGAAAAAGCAAUGCUGAAUUUGCUUUCUGGUGAGUCCGAGAUAAAGAGCCAUCGCAGUCCUUCUAUGGGAGCAGGAGGGGACACCGGGUCACGCCACCAGGUGUCUGAGAGCAGGAGAGACACACCAGAUCAUGCCAUCAGUAGAGCCCAGGUAGUACCCCUGUGGGAAAAAUCAGCCACGGGAUGCAAGGUGACGGCAACCUGCACUCCCAUCACAUCGACACGAGUGCAAUCCAUGCUGCUCCCCGUCCUGGGGCCUUGCCUUGGCACAGUGAAGAGGAUCCCAAGCAGAGGACCGGGGAAGACUCACAUCGGCAUCAGUGCGCUCUGGAAUGUUCCUUGGCUCCCACAUCACAGUCAAUCUGCUGCCUCAUCCAGGACAAGACCAAGUGCUGUCCCAGUCACGCUGUGGGGAUUCAGUUGUGACUUCAGAUUCUUGUCAGGGAGGCAUAUCCACCAGCCAACAACAGAUGGAGGAACCCUGUCAGUCACUGAUGAUCUCGGCCAAAUCCUGAAGGGCCAGCAUUUCAAGAAGUUGGUCACCUUCCAAGGUAACCCAAACAAAAAGAAACCAGGAAUACCUGCUAGAGUGACAGCUUGCAGUAAGAUGAAGGCAAAGUUUAACAGCAACAACAACAAAAUC
rnacentral:lncRNA from 1 species